AUUGAACGCUGGCGGCAGGCCUAACACAUGCAAGUCGAACGAGUGGCGGACGGGUGAGUAAUGUCUGGGAAACUGCCUGAUGGAGGGGGAUAACUACUGGAAACGGUAGCUAAUACCGCAUACCAUCAGAUGUGCCCAGAUGGGAUUAGCUAGUGGGUGGGGUAACGGCUCACAAGGGCGACGCUCCCUAGAUGGUCUGAGAGGAUGACCUGCCACACUGGAACGGGGACACGGUCCGGACUCCUACGGGGUGCAGCGGUGGGAAAUAUUGGACAAUGGGGGCAAGCCUAAUGCAGCACUGCGGCGGAUAUGAGGAGGGCCUUCGGGUUGUAAGGUCCUUUCAGAGGGGAGGCGUUACCCACAGAAGAAGCACCGGCUAACUCCGUGCCAGCAGCCGCGGUAAUUC
rnacentral:rRNA from 1 species